UUAGCUAUCAAAACAAAAAUUGAAAGCAAACUGAUUGGGUUUCAGAAUGACAACACAACGCCCUUCAACACAAACCCUUGAAUUCUAACCCUUGAUUUCUAAUUUCUCUUCUCCCAAUCCCUAAUUAUCAUUUCAUCGUCAAUGCUAUUUCUCUCUUCCCAAUCUAAUUUCUCUUCUCCCCAUCCCUAAUCAUCUCAUCAUAAAUGUUAUUUCUUCUCCCAAUUCAUACAUUACAAUUCUAUUUUUUAAGCACAAUAUAUGGACAACAGGACGUGAAAUUGUAUUUAUGGAGCUGGAUAACAAUUAAAUCAAAUACAUUGAAGCACAAUACAACUCAGUGGUGGGGCUGAAUCCCAUAGCCUGCUUCUUAUCAUAGAGAGCUAAUUCGAUGUACUUUCGGUUUGAUCUUUUUGUCAGGAUGGUACAAGUGAUGUCAUGAGGCUGAAUUUACCAUUCUGUUAUGUAUUAAGGGACAAGGUUGCGAGGUUGUAGCUGGCCGAGUAUAGUUGGAGUCGUGAAGCAUAUUUGUAUCAAGGGAUUGUUGAUUUGUUGCUGCUUCUGGAGAACCGCAGCUGAAAAGGUGUGUGUAUCAGGUUUUAGAAUGUUGUUACCUGAUCUCUGUUGAGGUUUGAGAUGUUAAAUACCUCGGGUAUUGGAUAGUAAUCCUCAUGUAUUGUGAAAAAUAGGCAGUAGUCAAAGGAAAAACAUUUUCCUGAUAUGAUUCCCUUCCUCCAAAACAUUUGUUAUAGCAUUGUCAGGGAAACAUCUAGAUCUCAAAAUCAUUUUCCUAUCGCUGUUUUAACCCAUUGCAUAUCUCUUUUUUUCCAUAUCAUUGAACGCUUCCACAACAACUUGUACGACAUUCACAAGGUGAAAAGGAUGAAAAAAAAUCCAUAUUUUGAAGAUAGAGUAUCCUUUGACGAUGUCGACGUUGAUGAUGGCACAUUGGAAACUGAAGUGGUGAACUUUGUUGAGGAAACUAAGGUGUUGAUAUGAUUGGAAACAGAAGUGUUGAUAUGGUUGGAAACUCAACCAUUGGAUGAAGGGUACCAAAAACAAUAUGCAGAAACAUUGUCUCUACUGAUGCCUUGCUUGGUGUGUCGAUAAUGUCAUCAGUCAUGUUAGUCUUGACUGAUAAAAACAAACAGGAUGCCCAACCAUGACUUUUCAUCAGGCUUGUGCCUAUCAAAGUCAACAAGUAUAGUAGAACAGCCUUUUAUAUAUGUAUAGGUAUUUUGUUGUAAUUUUAUGUUACUUUAAACAAAUAUAUAAAAAAUAAUAUUGGCACAACUAAUGUACAAUGUUUGAUGUGAAAUCUUUUCCCAAGAAUCAAAUUUUGUGGGAUAUUGGCCAAAAGGGCUAUUAGUCACAACUUCUAGGCCAAAGCUGCAUUUAUCUCAUGUUAGAACUGAUAUGUGGCUUAUUUAUCUCAGGUUAGAACUGAUUAGUGACGCAAACAUUUUUCUUUGCUUACUGUUUCGUUGUUGGCAUCGAGAAAUAUAACGUUAUUAUCAUUCCUUCCAGCUAUAGUCUUGUGUUUCUGGUGCAUGGUUUUAUUUUGCAGAUUUCUUUAAAUAUAGCUUGUGUGCAUUCUCUUGGUUUUGUGGGUCAGUUUCUGUCUUGGUUUGGCCUCAUUGUGGUGGAGUCGUCCGGUGGUCGCGGUGGGCAUCUGGUGACUUCCCCAUUCGGUGCAGCAGAUUGGCGUUAUUUUUCAGGGUCAGUGCUACUGUUAUGUUGUCAGCUUAUCUAUUGCUUUUUGUUGGAAUGGACUGUGUAUUCUUUUUUAUCUGUUGUAGUCGUUAUAGGUUGGUUUUGGAGCUCUCUUUUGCGUGUCUGGUUAUCUUAGGUUUACCUGUGAUGAUCUUUGAUCUGUAUUAUUUUGAUGGUGUUUUUACUUUUGUAAUGCAUAUUGAUGUACUGUUUAAUACUGCUUGUGCUCUUAAUGAAUAUGGUUUUUUUUAUAUAAAAAAAAAAACAUCCCUUUUGCCCCAUUUAACUGAUAAUGAGUUUUAGCUAUUUGAGUUCCUUACAUAUUUUAUAGGAUUUCAUUAGUCAAACAUUAUAGUUUAUUAAAUUACAUCAUCCAAAUAAAAUCUUCUAAGUAGAAGGCAUAUAAAGCAGGUAUAAUAUGGGGUACAACACCAUUGUUAACAUUGACUUGCACAAUCAUAUCAUAGUUCUUAAUUUAACUACCAAAUGAAUGACACAGUUGAAAGAAUUAAUUCACAUAUAGCAUCGCAUAAUGCGACAAAAAUGUGAAAUUAUUAUUUAAUUUUAAUAUAUUAAAGAGGUUUAGUUUAUAAUUCUAUGUAAUGUUUUUUGUGGAGAAAUUAAUUUAUCUUAUAACUAGUGUAUAUACCCGUGCGAGGCACGGGUUUAAAAAUACGUAUAAUAAAAAAUAUAUUUUAUAAAUACUUACAGCUAAAACAUAUAUGUGAUAAGAUAAAAAAAAUUUUAAAAAAUUUUAAAGAUAAAAUAUAUAUAUAUAUAUAUGUUAUAUGUCAUUAAAAAAUAAUAAAUUCAACAAAUUUUAAUACCAAAAUGUGA